UACGUAGGGGGCAAGCGUUAUCCGGAUUUACUGGGUGUAAAGGGAGCGUAGACGGUUGUAUAAGUCUGGAGUGAAAGCCCGGGGCCCAACCCCGGGACUGCUUUGGAAACUGUGUAACUUGAGUACAGGAGGGGCAGGCGGAAUUCCUGGUGUAGCGGUGAAAUGCGUAGAUAUCACACAGAACACCGAUUGCGAAGGCAUCUCACGAAUCCGCUAUUGACGCUGAUGCACGAAAGCGUGGGUAUCAAACAGG
rnacentral:rRNA from 1 species